rnacentral:lncRNA from 1 species
CGCGGGAGGUGGGGCUGCUAUUCUGCUGCUGUGAACAUGCUGGGACGAGCGGACGGUCUGGAAUGCUGGUUGCACGCGGCUGAUGGCGGAGGAGCUGGUCGCUGGCUGCACGCACGGUGAUCGCGGAGGAGCUGGUCGGUUUGCAUCACGGGAGGAAAGAAAUCAAUGGCUGGCUGAUUUGGGAAGAGGUCCCCUGUUUCAGCGCUGUGAAGGAAAGAAUGGAAAGUCAGGUUGGAUGGUUGCUGAUCUGGGAAGGGCUCUGUUUUGGCGCACGGAAAAAUGUGUGGAUUUGAGCUUGGGAGAUUUGCUGGACAUGGGGGAUGAUGGAUUGCAUGAGGAUUCACCUGGGAAGCUUGGAUUGGCUUGGAUAGUGGUCGCGGGAAAGGAAUGGGAUUGGUUGGGAAUUGGCUUUGGAUUUGAGGUGGGUCAUGAUCGUUGACUUGUCCUCAAGCCCAAUGUCAUUUAAAUCUAAUUCUUGUUAAACUGCUUCAGACCGAACUCGACCAGAUAAAAUGAACAAGACUAAAAACAAGAC